UGGUGCUGCCGGGCGACGCCGCCGCGGCCCUGACCCGGCCGUGGGUGUACGCGGCGUUCAGCCGCGCCGAGCGCCAUC
rnacentral:tRNA from 1 species